UACAGAGGUCUCAAGCGUUGUUCGGAUUCAUUGGGCGUAAAGGGUGCGUAGGCGGCGCGGUAAGUCGGGUGUGAAAUCUCGGAGCUUAACUCCGAAACUGCAUUCGAUACUGCCGUGCUUGAGGACUGGAGAGGAGACUGGAAUUUACGGUGGAGCGGUGAAGUGCGUAGAUAUCGUUUGGAACGCCAAUGGUGAAAACAGGUUGCUGGGGGUGUGCUGACGCUGAGACACGAAAGCCAGGGAGCAAACGGG
rnacentral:rRNA from 1 species